GGGCUAGCAAGAUAAGAGGGCAAUGAGACAGCAAGCGGGCAGAGAAAUGGGGAGGGUGUCUCUUCCAGGACCCCCCUAGUCUCAUCCUGAGCUGGGGGAACCCACAGUGCCAUAGCUACCUCCUUGGGUCUCACCUCUUGGGAACAGAGCAGGGAAGUGUGAAUCCAGAUAAUAGCAGCCAAAGUGUGGUCUCCUAUGCCUUCACCACAAACUGAACAGCUAAGCUAUCAACCUUCAUCACUUCUCCAGUCUUCCUUCUACCUGCAAGAUCAGCUCUUUGCUAAAAUAACUACAGAAGUAAGAUUUGAGUCAGCUACCAUCUUCCCUCCCUUACUUUGAUCCCACCUUGUGCCUCCACUCCUUGGAAUAAAGCAAUGUUACACAGUGUUUGAAAUCAUAGUCAGUUCCCACUCCCCAGCGACACAGAGGGAUUUGGCUCUAAAAAGAAUUUGGGAUUUGGCAGUCUGGUAUAAGAUCCAGGCCGGUCUGGGAGAAGAGCUACAGUUCACCCACCCCUCUAAAGAAACAACACUGAAUUCACAGCAGGGCUAAUACAUGGUGAUGCACAUAACUAAUAGGCUUGCUGCAAAUUUGGUAUCCAAUUUGGGUUCUGUUUGAAGGAGAGGGAGAAAGGUUCAUAGAGGACAUCCCAGCCCCCCCAAACACAACUCAAGUCACUCCUUGGGCCCAGCCCCAGUCCACGGAGACACACAACAGCAUCUCCUUAACCUUGAUACCACAGGAGUUUUUGAAGAACUCAACUUCAGACCAAGAGGGGAUGCCAAGUUUUGAGGGCUUAUGGAUUCUCUUAUGAGUGUGUUUAGUUGGUUUUGGUAUUUCUCUCAAGCCUUUAAAGAUGCCAAGGGAUGCCUUUAGGAGGAGGCUAGGGACAACUUCAUAUAGUCUUCAGUUCUUUGUUCUUCCUCGAGUUCUUCUUUGGUCAUCAUUGACUUGUACUGGUUUCCCCUCAGCUUUCCAGGACUGUAUUUGAAAGAAAACGUCUCAUCUGCAGCAUCAUCAUCUUCAGUCUCUUUCACCAUCAGCUUCUCACUGUCUGAGUCCGGAUCUUCCUCCUUGCUCUCUUCCUCCUCCUCUUCCUCGUCCUCCUGCUGCUGCUGCUGCUGCUGCUCCCGGGGUUCGGCGGCGGGCGGCGGCCGGGGGAUGCUCUCGGGGCUCCGCUCGGCCACGGGUUUCUGCUCAGCCGCGGAUUUCUGCUCAGCCACCGCCGCCUCCUUCUCCUGCUCUUCCUUCUCCUUCUCCUCCUCCUUCCCCUCGCCGCCCGCCCCGACCUCCUCCACCGGCACCCGGCUCCCCUCUACCCCCGGCCCCUCGGCCGCUCCCCGCGGCUCCGCUUCGCCCCCGGCGGCCGAGCCCGGCUCCUCUCUGCCCGGCUCCGCUUUGCUCGGCUCCGGCUCCGACUCCGGCUGCCGCUCCGCCGCCCGCUGCCCCUCGCCGCCCCGCAGCUUCACAAAGACGGAGGCGAGGACGAUGGCCAGGACGGUGAAGAGCAGCGGGACGGCCAGGUACAGGUCCACGGCCACGUCCAUGCUGCCGGAGCCCGAGUGCGCGGACACCCGCUCGGCCUGCGGCGGGGCUGGGCAGCCUCUCAGCAGCCUUCACCCGGCGUCAUCUCCCUCGGCCCUGCCCACAGCCCCGGCCCCUUCCCCUCCCCGCCCAGCCCCGAGCCUGCCCCAAGGAUGGGGGGGAACUCCGCUCCGGGCAGGACGGGCUCAUGGAGGGCAGGCUGGAAGGCCAGCUGGGCUCCGCGCGAUGCUCAGCGAACGCUCACACCUUGCCAGCCCUCGGUGGGAGCCGGCACCGCACGGCAGGAUGUCCCCGGCGAGGAACGUCAAUGCCGAAGCCCAAAGCAUCGCCUCGCUUGGCCCUGGAGCUGCGGGUGGUACCCGUGAUGGCGGGACGGCAGCCGUGGCAGCCGGGUGAUACUCAGGAGCUGCGGGUGGCACCCGGGAUAGCCAGGUGCUAUCAGUGACAACCGGGUGACACCCACAUCAAACCCAGGGCAUCGCUCCCCCACCUGCGCCACGAGCAGCAGGAGGCUCAUGGCACAGCCAAGCCAUAACGCUGCUAACCGGGUGGUACCCACAGUACUGGGGUGAUAUCCUCGGGUGCUUUUAUUUCCUGGUUUGGGUACACAGCGAUGGGUGACACAAACCGUCGUCACUGCCAUCGGGGUGCUGACAGUAUGUGGGUUACGAGAGCCUCCCCGCAGCACAGCGAGGUGCACCGAGGGACCGCAAACGGCAAUGCCCAAAGACUGGGCUGCUCGGAGCCAGCACGAGCCCUGCCAGGGCUGCCGCACAGCCCCCCCACCGAGGACUUCCUGCCCCUCGGGGAGGGGAGGGUGAGCUCCACAAAGCGCUCCGGAAUCACAUCUAAGCUACGCCACGGCUAAAGGCAGCGCUGAGCUCUCCACGCCGCACGCGGUGGGAGCAGACGUGGGGGUGCGCCCGCAGAGCUUCCUCCGGGGAAAAGGCUUCGGGGGGUUCUCUGCGAGCGGAACGUCUGUACUGAGCGGCUGAAAACAAAAGAAAGACGGAUUAAAUCCCCGGGGAGGGAGGAAGGAAGCGGAGCCGCGAUCCUCGCUGCCGUUUAUCGCUAUUGCUAAUCCUAUCAAGCGGCCGUUUGCGCGUGGAUCGUCGUAUUCUUAGUAACGACCGGUCACGGUGCCGCUCUCCCCGUCCGCGUUUUGUGGGCUCUGAGCAUCGGAGCGGCCCCGGAGCUGAGCGCUGCGCGGCGGUUCGGCUCAGCGCCCGGUUGCUCCUUCCCAAACGCGUUCCUAAGCUCAGACUCCCAGCCGCGUUUCGGUUGCCAGCUGGAGGCGACACAAAAGCACGCGGCACGCAGCAGCGGCCCUGCGCCCGUGCUGAGGAGCAUCGGUGGGUGCGCCGAUCCAGAGCGGAGCAACGAGCCCCACGCGAAGGCGUUGCUGCAGGACGGGUGCCGGUGCCGCGACCACCACCGGCCGCGACAUCCACUUUCCUCCGCCGGCACCGCGUUUCCCGCAGCCGCAGCCGCUGUGCGCGGUGUUGCGGUAACGCAGCGCAGAGACGGAGCGGGACGGAACGCGGCGGCCGAGCCGGGACCGCGCUGCCCUCUGCCGGGAGGAGCCCCGCGCUGCAGCAGCGCACGGCUGUGCCGGGACCGCGCACAAAGACCGCUUUGACGCAGCAGUCGGAGGGGGGGGGGAGGAGGACGGGGGCAGCUGCGGAGCUCUGCCGACAAAGGAUUGAGGAGGGAGCGGUGAUAACUGCUCGGGGGCAGCUCGGCAGGACGGCCGGGGCAGCGUUUCAUGGCACAGCGCGUUUCUAUCGGCAUUUCAGGAGCCCGCAGACUGCCGCCUCACGCUCUGCUUAUUUACCUGCAGCCGUCGGGUUCAACCACAGCGCCCUCAUCCACCGCGCAGCGCCCGGGGCAGCACCACAGCAUCGUAACGUACCUCAGGGAAGAGGUGCGGACCUUUGGAACGUGGCUGAAAAUGGUUCAAAAAGCGACAGAGAAACGGGAGGAUGCAAAAUAAUUGAGUUUAUUUCAAAUAAAAAGCAAAACCACAAUCAUCCAAACGAGACAAUUGAAGGGUAUCCCAGCUCUGCUGGACGGGGCCAUAGAAGCAGCUGAAGGCAGGGCUGGGGGCUCAGACUGCUGCGUGGAUCACUUCGCUUCUUCCUUCCCUCCUUUGCAGAGGGAAUGCCAAAAUGCUCCUCUUACGAUGCUGACUGCUAUUAGAUGAGCACACGGGCAUCGCAGCUGAUUCAGGCAGCAGUCUUGCCUUCCACCCCGCAAUGGCUGGGGAUUGGAGGAGGAAAAGGCUCUGGGUUGAUAAUGAAGAGCCAGCCCAUCCAAGCUGGGAAGGGAAGGGAGGUUUGUGUGCCAGCACCUCCUCAGCAUCACCUGUCCCCAAGCACCGUGCAGCAGCAGGCGCUGAGCUCUGCGUGCGCCCACA
rnacentral:lncRNA from 1 species